UACGUAGGGGGCAAGCGUUGUCCGGAAUUAUUGGGCGUAAAGAGCGUGUAGGCGGCCAGAUAAGUCCGCUGUGAAAUCUCGAGGCUCAACUUCGAGCUGUCGGUGGAAACUAUCUGGCUAGAGUCCGGAAGAGGAGGAUGGAAUUCCUGGUGUAGCGGUGAAAUGCGCAGAUAUCAGGAAGAACACCCGUGGCGAAGGCGGUUCUCUGGGACGGUACUGACGCUGAGACGCGAAAGCGUGGGGAGCAAACAGG
rnacentral:rRNA from 1 species